CUUACACAUGCAAGUCGAACGAGAAAGUACCUUCGGGUGCGAGUAAAGUGGCGGACGGGUGAGUAACGCGUGGGAAUCUGCCUAGUAGUUGGGGACAACUUCCGGAAACGGGAGCUAAUACCGAAUACGCCCUAAGGGGGAAAGGCUUCGGCCGCUAUUAGAUGAGCCCGCGUAAGAUUAGCUUGUUGGUGGGGUAACGGCCUACCAAGGCGACGAUCUUUAGCUGGUCUGAGAGGACGAUCAGCCACACUGGGACUGAGACACGGCCCAGACUCCUACGGGAGGCAGCAGUGGGGAAUAUUGGACAAUGGGGGAAACCCUGAUCCAGCAAUGCCGCGUGUGUGAAGAAGGCCUGCGGGUUGUAAAGCACUUUCAGUAGGGAAGAUAAUGACGGUACCUACAAAAGAAGCACCGGCUAACUCCGUGCCAGCAGCCGCGGUAAUACGGAGGGUCCGAGCGUUAAUCGGAAUUACUGGGCGUAAAGCGCGCGUAGGCGGAUAAAUAAGUCAGAUGUGAAAUCCCCGGGCUCAACCUGGGAACUGCAUUUGAAACUGUAUAUCUAGAGUGUGGUAGAGGUGAGUGGAAUUUCAGGUGUAGCGGUGAAAUGCGUAGAGAUCUGAAGGAACAUCAGUGGCGAAGGCGACUCACUGGGCCAUUACUGACGCUGAGGUGCGAAAGCGUGGGUAGCAAACAGGAUUAGAUACCCUGGUAGUCCACGCCCUAAACGAUGUCAACUAGGUGUGUGAAGAUAUAAUCUUUGCGUAUCGAAGCUAACGCGAUAAGUUGACCGCCUGGGGAGUACGGCCGCAAGGCUAAAACUCAAAUGAAUUGACGGGGGCCCGCACAAGCGGUGGAGCAUGUGGUUUAAUUCGAUGCAACGCGAAGAACCUUACCUAGUCUUGACAUGUAGCG
rnacentral:rRNA from 1 species